rnacentral:rRNA from 1 species
UGACACCCAGGCAGACGUGCCCUCGGCCUAAUGGCUUGGGGCACAACUUGCGUUCAAAGACUCGAUGGUUCACGGGAUUCUGCAAUUCACACCAAGUAUCGCAUUUCGCUACGUUCUUCAUCGAUGCGAGAGCUGAGAUAUCCGUUGCCGAGAGUC